rnacentral:rRNA from 1 species
UACGUAGGGGGCAAGCGUUGUCCGGAAUCAUUGGGCGUAAAGAGCGUGUAGGCGGCUCGAUAAGUCUGCUGUGAAAGUCCAGGGCUCAACCCUGGAAGGCCGGUGGAAACUGUCGGGCUAGAGUCCGGAAGAGGCGAGUGGAAUUCCCGGUGUAGCGGUGAAAUGCGCAGAUAUCGGGAGGAACACCGGUGGCGAAGGCGGGUCUCUGGGCAACAACUGACGCUGAGGAGCGAAAGCGUGGGGAGCAAACAGG